AUUGAACGCUGGCGGUAUGCUUAACACAUGCAAGUCGAACGGUAGCAGGCCUUCGGGCGCUGACGAGUGGCGGACGGGUGAGUAACGCGUAGGAAUCUGCCUGAUAGUGGGGGACAACUUAGGGAAACUCAGGCUAAUACCGCAUACGCUCGGGAGAGGAAAGCGGGGGACCUUCGGGCCUCGCGCUGGUGGAGGAGCCUACGUCCGAUUAGCUAGUUGGUAGGGUAACAGCCUACCAAGGCGACGAUCGGUAGCUGGUCUGAGAGGAUGAUCAGCCACACUGGGACUGAGACACGGCCCAGACUCCUACGGGUGGCAG
rnacentral:rRNA from 1 species